rnacentral:rRNA from 1 species
UGGGGAAUAUUGGACAAUGGGCGCAAGCCUGAUCCAGCCAUGCCGCGUGAGUGAUGAAGGCCCUAGGGUUGUAAAGCUCUUUCACCGGUGAAGAUAAUGACGGUAACCGGAGAAGAAGCCCCGGCUAACUUCGUGCCAGCAGCCGCGGUAAUACGAAGGGGGCUAGCGUUGUUCGGAUUUACUGGGCGUAAAGCGCACGUAGGCGGACGUUUAAGUCAGGGGUGAAAUCCCGGGGCUCAACCCCGGAACUGCCUUUGAUACUGGAAGUCUGGAGUAUGGUAGAGGUGAGUGGAAUUCCGAGUGUAGAGGUGAAAUUCGUAGAUAUUCGGGGGAACACCAGUGGCGAAGGCGGCUCACUGGACCCUUACAGACGCUGAGGUGCGAAAGCGUGGGGAGCAAACAGG